rnacentral:rRNA from 1 species
UACGUGGGGAGCAAGCGUUGUUCGGAUUUACUGGGCGUAAAGGGCGCGUAGGCGGCACUGCAAGUCAGUUGUGAAAUCUCCGGGCUUAACCCGGAAAGGUCAACUGAUACUGCAGGGCUAGAGUGCAGAAGGGGCAACUGGAAUUCUCGGUGUAGCGGUGAAAUGCGUAGAUAUCAGGAGGAACACCAAUAGCGAAGGCAGCUCGCUGGGACGGUACUGACGCUAAGGCGCGAAAGCGUGGGGAGCAAACAGG